UCCCAUAUGGUCUAGUGGUUAGGAUUUGGCCCUUUCACCGCCAUGGCCAGGGUUCAAUUUCCGGUGUGGGAA
rnacentral:tRNA from 1 species